rnacentral:rRNA from 1 species
AACUAUAUAAGAUAUCUGCUCACUGAAAUAAAGAGCCGCAAUUUGUGCUAAGGUAGCAUGAUAAUUCGUUCUUUAAUUGAGGACUAGUACAAACGAUUAAACACUUAAAUUUAUUUUAAUAAUUUAAAAAUUAAACCUUUACAAAAUGUAAAAAGACAUUUAUUUUUAAGAAAGACGAUAAGACCCUAUUGAACUUAACUUAAGUUAAACUGGGGCAGUAAAUUAAUUAUUAUUUUAAUAGUAUUUUUAUAAAAAAUACCCAAUUUAACUGAAUUAUUCAGUUACCAUAGGGAUAACAGCAUAAUUAUAUUCCAAAGUUCUUAUAUUAAAAAUAGAUUGUGACCUCGAUGUUGAAUUAAUAUUCUAAUUAAAGCAAGAUUUAAUAAAGUAAGUCUGUUCGACUUGUAAAAAAUUACAUGAUCUGAUUCCAAACCGGGA